rnacentral:lncRNA from 1 species
CUGAAGACCAGCUAUUUAUUUCUGUCAUUAACCAUAAGUGUUACUUAUAGACUUCAGUGCACCGAUCACCUUGGCUUCUACCAAGCAACUGCCUUUAUUUACGAUUUUCCAGCAUAACUACAUGUGUGCCUCAUACACACAUAGACAUCAUGAAUUCAUAACGAACACACCCCUGUCAUCCAAACCCAGACCAAGAAAGAAAACAUGACCUGGACCCCAAGACCUUCUUUGGCUCCCUUCCCAGCUACGCCUCACCUCCCCCGCCCAGGACAAUAACUCUCCUGACUUCUAACCGUGCACGUUCGCUUUGUCUGUUGUUGUACUUUAUAUAAAUGGAACGCGCAGCAUGCGCUCUUGUUUCUGACUUCUUUCAUUCAACCUUCUGCUCGGGAGCUUCUUGCAUUUUGCAACGGGCUUACAGUUGUCAGUGAAUUUUGAAACCGAUCAUAUUUUUAAGGAGCUCAGAGCCAGAAUGGCGGCCACCUCUGGAAACUCCCCAGUACCAAAGAGGCGUUCUGGACACCCCUUGUCAGCUGCCCCUCGUCCAAAUUUCCCAAGGUCUUUAUUCUGCUUGCUUUUGGUGAAGUAUAAGAAUGUUUAGAACUCUCCUCAGAUCCUAUUUGAAACAAUCCAUUUUGGGAAAUAAUAAUGAGUGAAUGUCAGCCCUGACUCCCCUGGUCCAGGGCUCCUCUCUGUUCCCCAGGAAGGACCAAGAGAACGCUGAUCAUCAGUGGAGAAGAUGAGGAUGAAGGUGGAGAUGGCCAUGCAGAUGAACAGGGUGGUGACAGCUGGCCUGUGUGACAGCUUCAUCACAACACAUCUCUCUCCCUGUUUUUAAUUAAAGAAAGCAAGGCACCGAAAGGUGAAAUAUCUUGCUGGAGGCCACCCAGCUGGAAAGGGGGGAAGCUUGGAUGAGAGCCCAGCCUGAGAAAUUCAGUUCUAGAAACCCGUCUCCGCCGGCACCCAGGACGGCGCUGCGUUGCAUGGAGGGUGACUUCUGAGCCGCUGUCUUGUCAUCCCUUUCAAGGCAGAGCUCCUGGCUGGCUGCCUUCCUCCCCUUCAUCUGUUACCAAAGCCUCUGCCACACGCCUGGCUGUGGGCUCCUGAGCAUGCGUGCUGUGUGGCUGGAAUGUGGGGGAAACCGCCCACUUUAAUGCAGAUGAGCCUGGGGCGCCAGCUCCUGCAGAGCAUGCUCCUGCUGCCCUCCCCAAGGCGGAGCACUGGGCAUAAUUAUCAGUGUCUUUCAGCAGAACUACAGGCAGCCCUCAGUGGCACCCGGAGGGUUUAAUCAUAGGAGAAUCCAUACGAACCAAUCUGAGCAGACAGGAGGCCAGAAGUGCUGCUGAGGAGGACUCGCCCAGGGAUGGCCAGACCAGGGUCACUCCAACGGCCCCAGGAUCUUCACAUAUGUGAUGCUGAGCUUCACAGAGUUACCUUGCUCAUUUUUCAGGUGGAAAAACAGGUUCUUAUAGGAUGUAUCUAUUAAUGAAAGCCUGAGCCAUCCAGCUCAACUUAUCAGGACAAAGGGAACCCCAAUGUUUACCAAAGAGAAAUAUAGAGGUCCCCACUUAUCCCCAGUUUCAUUUUUCCUAGUUCAGUUAUCUACAGUCACCAGAGUCCCAGAAUAUUAAGUGGGAAAUUCCAGAAAUAAACCAUUCGUAAGUUUUAAGUUGCGUGCUCUUCUAAGUAAUGUGAAGAUAUCUCCUGCUGUCCUGCUCUAUCCAAUCCAGGAUAUGAAUCAUACUUUCUCCAGUGUGUCCAUGCUGUAUAUGCUACCUGCCCAUUAGUUACAUAGUAGCUGCCUUGGUUAUGGGAUCAAAGUUGAUAUUGCAGUGCUUGUAUUCAGGUAACUCUUAUUUUACUUAAUAGUCUCCAAAGUGCAAGAGUAGUGAUGCAGAGAUACUGUGGUACUAUGUGGCAACACUACAUAGCAUAUAGGAAAAAGAAAACACCAAACCCUAUAGAUGCUGUUUUAUCUAUGGCUUCAGACAUCCACUAGAGGUCUUGGAACCUGUCCCCUCUGGACACAGGAGGAUUACCAUACAGUGACUUUGCCAUGAGCUCCAGCCUGGGAUCCUGUGGACUGGAUUUCUCACAGCAGGGGCAGGGGAAAUGCAGGUUCUGCCCAAGCCAUGUCUGCAGGUGCAGCGGAAGCUGCCUGGCUGACUUCCCUCUGAGCCGGAGCAGGCCUCCUAUCUUACAGAAGCUGCUGCGGCACUUGAGAAUUACACAGAAAACAGGCUCCAACCUCCGCUCUCCCCCCUGCAUAGCAGCUAUUCCUGCCCGGGUCCCUUCCUUGGGCUUUAAUCCUUCUUACUGCUUAAUUUCGUAGUAAAUUCCAUUGACAACUGGCUUGCACUUUC